rnacentral:rRNA from 1 species
CAUCGCUCCUUGUAUUACAAAACAAAUAAGGAGUACUGCCUGCCCAGUGACUAAAAAUUCAACGGCCGCGGUAUUUUGACCGUGCAAAGGUAGCAUAAUAAUUUGCUCUUUAAUUGAGGGCUAGUAUGAAAGGCAAGACGAAGGCUAAACUGUCUCCCUCUUAAAAAAAGAAAUUAAUAUUUUAGUGAAGAAACUAAAAUAAAAACGCAAGACGAGAAGACCCUGUCGAGCUUAAGAAAACUUUUAUUUCAACAAAAACAAAAAGCUAAUUAAAUUAAAAAUACUAAACAACAACAAAAAUAAAAAUAUCUUUGGUUGGGGCAACCACGAAGAAAAAAAAACCUUCGACUUUAAAAAGAAAUAAACAAAUUUAAAAGCAUAAAAGCUUCAAAGAUCCGGAACUACCGAACAAAGAAAAAAGUUACCGCAGGGAUAACAGCGUUAUUCUCUUUAAGAGCUCGUAUUGACAAGAGAGUUUGCGACCUCGAUGUUGGACCGGGGCACCCAAGAGAUGCAGAAGUCUCUAAAGGUAGGUCUGUUCGACCUUUAAAGCCCUACGUGA